GACAGUCAUGUUUGGUUUUACGUAUUGAACAAGAAUAUAUUUUAAGUUUUCAGUUUCGACCCCAUUUGGUCACCGAAAACUGUACCGAACUGUAAUCUUUAUCAGAUAGCUGUCGGAUUUUAUUUCUCACUCUACGGGUGUCAGAAAAAUAUGAACUUUAAAUCUAGCCUUAUAAAAAUAUUUCUGACUUAUCCUCCAAUUUUCAUAAUUUUCUGAGACUGUGCAUUUUCUGCUAAUUUAUCUGUCCCGUUUCUAACAGAAAAUUCUAAAUCUUCUGUUUUCAUUCCGAUUUCAGCACAAGUCACUUCUGACUUAUGUUUUACUUCUACAAAUCCAAUAAAAAUAGUUUCUCACACUAUUUUUGUUUAUUUUUAUUUUUAUACCAAAAUCUGGUAUGUUACAGAAGGUAAGGAGGAUGAAGUCUUUCUUCUAGCUUCUUCUCCUUCUUCUUCUCCUUCUUCUUCUUCUUCUCCUUCUUUUCUUUCUAGAGAGAGAUAGAGUUUAGGGUUGAAAGGUGAGGGAGAAGAGAGAAAGACCCAAAUCCCCCUUCUAUACACUCUCAUAAAUGCAAAAUUGCUGAAAACCCCCUCAACAAUGCCUCUCUUGCAACAGCCCAAACUAGGCAUUUUCGGGCUACGGGGACCGGUCCUUGCAUGAGGGACUGGUCCCUGAGGGACCUAUCCCAGGCCGAGGGACCCGUCCCCGUAGGUCUCAAUUUCCAAACUUAGCCAAAUUUCAGCCUUUUUUCGUUUUCGCUCCGUUUUCGCUCGUUUUCGUUCGUUUGGUCUCCGAUUCAUUUCAAAUCGAACCGAGACUCUCCAAACAUAUUUUCAAGCGUAUUUUCAUCAUCUUUUCAUCCACGCUAAUGCCGGAUUUAGUUCACGGCCCAACAUAGCCUUUUGGGUUCCGUUUUCGCGCCUACGCGCACCGAAACGCCCGAAUGCACCCAAACUUCACCGAACUUCACUAGAACCAUUCAAAUGGCUUUCCAAAUCAACAUACGCCGUAACUUCAUAA
rnacentral:lncRNA from 1 species